CGGGGAGCACCACAACAGGUGGAGCCUGCGGUUUAAUCGGACUCAACGCCGGGAAAACUCACCAGAUAGGACAGCUGAAUGAUAGUCGGGCUGAAGACUCUACUUGACUAGCUGAGAGGAGGUGCAUGGCCGUCGUCAGUUCGUACUGUGAAGCAUCCUGUUAAGUCAGGCAACGAGCGAGACCCACGCCAACAGUUGCCAGCUCGUCCUCCGGGAUGGUGGGGACACUGUUGGGACCGCCUCUGCUAAAGAGGAGGAAGGAAUGGGCAACGGUAGGUCAGCAUGCCCCGAAUUAUCUGGGCUACACGCGGGCUACAAUGGGUGGGACAAUGGGUAUCGACACCGAAAGGUGAAGGCAAUCUCCUAAACCCAUCCGUAGUUCGGAUUGUGGGCUGCAACUCGCCCACAUGAAGCUGGAAUCUGUAGUAAUCGUGUCUCAAAAUGGCACGGUGAAUAUGUCCCUGCUCCUU
rnacentral:rRNA from 1 species